rnacentral:rRNA from 1 species
UACGAAGGGGGCUAGCGUUGCUCGGAAUCACUGGGCGUAAAGGGGGCGUAGGCGGGUCUUUAAGUCAGGGGGGAAAUCCUGGAGCUCAACUCCAGAACUGCCUUUGAUACUGAAGAUCUUGAGUUCGGGAGAGGUGAGUGGAACUGCGAGUGUAGAGGUGAAAUUCGUAGAUAUUCGCAAGAACACCAGUGGCGAAGGCGGCUCACUGGCCCGGUACUGACGCUGAGGUGCGAAAGCGUGGGGAGCAAACAGG